GUCCCAGUUCGGAUCGCAGGCUGCAACCCGCCUGCGUGAAGUUGGAAUCGCUAGUAAUCGCGGAUCAGCAUGCCGCGGUGAAUACGUUCCCGGGCCUUGUACACACCGCCCGUCACACCAUGAGAGUCGGGAACACCCGAAGUCCGUAGCCUAACCGCAAGGGGGGCGCGGCCGAAGGUGGGUUCGAUAAUUGGGGUGAAGUCGUAACAAGGUACC
rnacentral:rRNA from 1 species